GUUUUACUUUCCAAGAUGUACGAAAGAAUUGAUGUUUGGUUAUUGUCAUAGUAUUUUUAGUUAUUUUGUACAAUAAGGGUUUUAGAAUAUUUUUUUUCUCUGAAUAUGAAUAAAAACAUAAUUUAAGUGAGCCUGACAAUAAACAAAAUGGCAAUUUUUUUUCUUUGUUUGUAGACAAUGAGUGACUACAUAUCCUGGAAACUUGCUGAAGUAUGCCAGUGGCUAGAGAGAAACAAUUUGGGAGAAUUCUAAUGUUUUUAUGGAGCAUGAGAUUGACGGAGCAACUUUAGGCGUUUUCACAGAGCGAAUGGCAGAGAGACUAAUACCUAUAAUUAAGAAGCAGGCCGUUUUUAUGUCUCUUCUGGAAAAAAUUAAAACAAGUGAAGCACACAGAUUGGCCACACCCACCCUUUGAAUCGCCUGCUGGAGUGGCGUGGGACACUGUCAGCAGCAGCAGCAGC
rnacentral:lncRNA from 1 species